rnacentral:lncRNA from 1 species
CACCCUUAUCAAGACGCAGAGAUGUGUGACGUGUUUGCUUACCUUGUACUUCUUUGUUUUUUUUAAAUUAAUCCUUGUGACUUGUGUUUCUACCCUGGGAAUUUUGAAAACAAUCUGAUCACCUUGCUUCACUGAGAUUAUUACAGAGAAGACAGUUUUGACACAUCCGUCUCCGGGAAGUCAGGAGGAAUCUAUGACCCAAAUAAAUGUCCGACACUCUGAGUCCAGUCUCCUGGUCAGAGUGUCAUCAACUUCUCUCUUCACGUGUGCAUGCAGAAAGGACAAGUCCCGGAAUACAGGAGGGCUGGGAGAAGUCAGCAUCCUCAAGUGACUGCAGGCCACAGAAGGUCAGUGGUCCAUGAAGUGCCAAGGGCUGGGAUACGACAAAGAAGGACAUGGAAAGGGCCUCACCUUGUUGGGCCAAUUUUCCAGUGGGAGAGACUGAUGACAACAGAGAGGAAGAGGGAGGAAGGAAAAGUGUGGACGCAAAGACAGGAAGGAAGAAAGAAGAAACCUAAGAACAUAAGCAACCAAGGGAGACAACCGCAGCAGGUGCUCAAAUGGGGAAAUGACGGGAUUAAAGGCAAAGCGAGAACGGGGGCAGAGAGGGUGGCUCGGGGCAAGUCCCUGCGAUGCGAGAGCCUGGUACCGGAGGAGCGUGCCGAGCUGUGUGCUUAUGGGAGGACAUUUCUGGGAGAACCAGCAGCAAGGGCCUGGGCCCACCCUGUCAAGAGGUUCCAACGGCAGGCAGCGGGGAGGAAU